CACCUGACUGCAUAAACAAAGACAACAGAGAGACUCAUCCUGGAAGCUCUCUUCGCAGAUGACUGCUCUCAUGGCCCACCAAGAAAAUAAACUACAAACCAUUGUGGACAGGUUCUCCACCACAACAAAACUGUUUGGCCUGACUAUCAGCCUCAGCAAAACAGAGGUGCUGUUCCAACCUGCACCAGGGAGGCCAAUGAACCAGCCGUGCAUUACAAUCGACAGCACGCAGCUUUCUAACGUCAACACUUUCAAGUACCUGGGCAGCACCAUCGCCAACGACGGGUCCCUAGACCACGAGAUUAAUGCCAGGAUCCAAAAGGCCAGCCAGGUACUCGGAUGGCUGCACUGCAAAGUCCUCCAACACAGCGGUGUAAGCACUGCGACGAAGCUCAAAGUGUACAACGCAGUGGUCCUCAGCUCGCUCCUGUACGGUUGUGAGACAUGGACACUGUACCGGAAGCACAUGAAGCAGCUGGAGCAAUUCCACCAACGCUCCCUCCAGUCAAUCAUGAGCAUCCGAUGGCAGGACCGAAUCACCAACCAGGAAGUCCUCGACAGAGCCAACUCCACCAGCAUCGAAGUCCUGGUCCUCAAAACCCAGCUACGAUGGUCUGGACACGUCAUCCGCAUGGACCCACAGCGAAUACCAAGACAGGUAUUCUAUGGUGAACUGUCAGCUGGACUCAGGAAACAAGGCCGACCAAAGAAAAGAUUCAAGGAUCAGCUAAAGUCCAACUUGAAGUGGGCUGGCAUUACCCCAAAGCAACUAGAACUCGCUGCCUCUGACAGAAGCAGCUGGCAAACCCACAUUAACCAUGCCGCCACCACCUUUGAAGAUGAGUGACGUCGACGUCUUGCCGCUGCGCGUGAACGCCGACACCAGGCCACAGCCGCACCUCCCGUAACAACUGGCGUCCCAGGCCCCAUGUGCCACAAACUCUGCGCCUCAGCCUUUGGACUCCAAAGCCACAUGAGGGUACACCGUAGAUGAAACUGCACAAAGAAAAUAGUCAUUCUCGAUCACCGAGAGACUACCACUGACUGACUAGGAG
rnacentral:lncRNA from 1 species